CCUGGUGGUCAUAGCGAGGGGCCCGCACCCGAUCCCAUCCCGAACUCGGCCGUGAAAACCCUCCGCGCCAAUGGUACUGC
rfam:Skermanella aerolata KACC 11604 strain 5416T-32 contig60, whole genome shotgun sequence.